UGACCGCUGGCGGCAUGCUUUCCACAUGCAAGUCGACCGGCAGCGCGGGCUUCGGCCUGGCGGCGAGUGGCGAACGGGUGAGUAAUGCAUCGGAACGUGCCCAGUAGUGGGGGAUAGCCCGGCGAAAGCCGGAUUAAUACCGCAUACGACCUGAGGGUGAAAGCGGGGGACCGAAAGGCCUCGCGCUAUUGGAGCGGCCGAUGUCGGAUUAGCUAGUUGGUGGGGUAAAGGCUUACCAAGGCGACGAUCCGUAGCUGGUCUGAGAGGACGACCAGCCACACUGGGACUGAGACACGGCCCAGACUCCUACGGGAGGCAGCAGUGGGGAAUUUUGGACAAUGGGGGCAACCCUGAUCCAGCCAUGCCGCGUGCGGGAAGAAGGCCUUCGGGUUGUAAACCGCUUUUGUUCGGGAAGAAAUCCUCUGGGCUAAUACCCCGGGGGGAUGACGGUACCGGAAGAAUAAGCACCGGCUAACUACGUG
rnacentral:rRNA from 1 species